rnacentral:rRNA from 1 species
GAUGAACGCUGGCGGCGUGCUUAACACAUGCAAGUCGAACGAAGCAUUUAGGACAGAUUACUUCGGUUUGAAGUUCUUUAUGACUGAGUGGCGGACGGGUGAGUAACGCGUGGGUAACCUGCCUUGUACUGGGGGAUAGCAGCUGGAAACGGCUGGUAAUACCGCAUAAGCGCACAAUGUUGCAUGACAUGGUGUGAAAAACUCCGGUGGUAUAAGAUGGACCCGCGUCUGAUUAGCUAGUUGGUGAGAUAACAGCCCACCAAGGCGACGAUCAGUAGCCGACCUGAGAGGGUGACCGGCCACAUUGGGACUGAGACACGGCCCAGACUCCUACGGGAAGCAGCAGUGGGGAAUAUUGCACAACGGAGGAAACUCUGAUGCAGCGACGCCGCGUGAGUGAAGAAGUAAUUCGUUAUGUAAAGCUCUAUCAGCAGGGAAGAUAGUGACGGUACCUGACUAAGAAGCUCCGGCUAAAUACGUG